GGAGAGGUGGCCGAGUGGUUAAGGCGCUGGUUUUAGGCACCAGUGGGGAACCGCGCGAGUUCGAAUCUCGUCCUCUUCA
rnacentral:tRNA from 2 species